rnacentral:pre_miRNA from 1 species
UCAGGACUUGGCGUUCGAAACUUGUCAUCAAAAUGGAUAAAAGGAGAUGUAUCUAGACGUAUUUUAGUUCUAGAUACACUCUUUUUUAUCCAUUUUGAUGACAAGUAUUUUCGGACGGAGGGAGUAGUAU